rnacentral:lncRNA from 1 species
AUGGCAAUGAAGUCNAAAAGAAAAAAAAAAAAAAAAAAAAAAGAGAGAGAGAGAGAGAGCAUUUUUCAGGGAGCUGGGGUGGGUGCAGGAGCCUCAUCCAAGAUUCUCCUUGGACCGGCCCAUUGGGAACUGUUCUUUCUUUCUGCUCUAAAUGUGCAGCGAUUCAGGCUAAAAAGCACAACGAGCACUAACGAGCGGUGCCCUGGCCCUGAAUGCCAAAAAUCUGUGUUUUCCUCUCUUACCCCCAACCAAUUUUUUUCUUUCUUUCUUUUUUUUUUUUUUUUUUUUGUUACUUCCCCCCCCCCAGGUCCCUCCCUUACAGACCUGCAGCCUGGGCCGAGGACAGGGGUACUGCAGACCUCUUUCCCUGUAAACUAUUUCCCCAAACCCCAGCUUUCCAAAACCUCGCCUGCCACUGCCGCCUUUAACCCCUUCAGUGAUGCACACGGUGUCUCCACGGGUCAUCGUGACGCCGGGGCCCGCCGGCAGCCACUUGGGAGAUCUGGAGCCCGGCGAAGAGGGAGGCGGCGGCGCUCUGACCACGUCACGUGCACCCGUGACGUCUGUGUUCUGCUCAAGGCGGAGGCCAGUCGGGACCUGACGACAGGACCGUCCGCCCUCUCCCUUGCAUCCUCCCUCUCCCAGCAUCCCUUGCAUCCGCUCUUUCCCAGCGUCCCUUGCAUCCUCCCUCUCCCAGCGUCCCUUGCAUCCGCUCUUUCCCAGCGUCCCUUGCAUCCUCCCUCUCCCGGGAUCCCCGGCAUCUGCUCUUUCCCAGCGUCCCUUGCAAUAGGGCGUGGUCACGUGACCAGACUCCUCCAAUGGGGAGUUCACCUCUGCUCACCCCGGAGUUGGUGGGGCGGGAAGCCGGGGCGCGGACCCUGGUUGUGGAGAUGGAGCCUCGCAGGCCCACGUGGAGUGUCGGCGCCGGACAUGGCCUCCGAGCAGCCCCGCCCGCCUGCAGCCCGUUGUCCGCCCCGCCCGGGGGCCGCCCCGUCCUUCGCUGUCCCCGGGCUCUCCCUCCACGCAGCCCGCGCUGCCCCAGCUGCCCCGACGCGGCGCCUGCGAGCGGUUACCGUGUCCCUAAGAGUAAAGGAGAGGGACGUCUCCGCAUCCCCACGUCAGCACAGCGGUGCAGGACCUGCCCCCGCCCCGCACCCUCACCGA